rnacentral:misc_RNA from 1 species
GUAAAGUCGAAUCUGGCACUGUGCGUGAGGGUGAUUCCUUAUUGGUUAUGCCAAACAAGAUACAAGUGAAAGUUACAGCUGUGAUGUGUGAUGAAAGUAAAGUCAAGAGUGCAGGACCUGGGGAGAAUCUUCGUGUUAGAGUAGCUGGAAUUGAAGAAGAAGAUAUAGCGUCUGGGUUUGUACUAUCAAGCAUUGCAAAACCAAUACCUUGUGUUUCUGAGUUUGUUGCACAGUUGCAGAUUCUUGAGCUGCUGGAUAAUGCAAUAUUUACAGCUGGAUAUAAGGCGGUACUUCACAUUCAUGCUGUUGUUGAAGAAUGUGAAAUCAUAGAGCUGCUACAGCAGAUCGAUCCAAAG